UAUCGCCUAAGGAUGAGCCCGCGUAGGAUUAGCUAGUUGGUGUGGUAAAAGCGCACCAAGGCGACGAUCCUUAGCUGGUCUGAGAGGAUGAUCAGCCACACUGGGACUGAGACACGACCCAGACUACUACGGGAGGCAGCAGUGGAGAAUAUUGGACAAUGGGCGAAAGCCUGAUCCAGCAAUGCCGCGUGAGUCAUGAAGGCCUUAGGGUUGUAAAGCUCUUUUACCCUGGAUGAUAAUGACAGUACCUAGAGAAUAAGCUCCGGCUAACUCCGUGCCAGCAGCCGCGGUAAUACGGAGGGAGCUAGCGUUGUUCGGAAUUACUGGGCGUAAAGCGUACGUAGGCGGCUUUGUAAGUAAGAGGUGAAAGCCUGGAGCUCAACUCCAGAACUGCCUUUUAGACUGCAUCGCUUGAAUCCUGGAGAGGUGAGUGGAAUUCCGAGUGUAGAGGUGAAAUUCGUAGAUAUUCGGAAGAACACCAGUGGCGAAGGCGGCUCACUGGACAGGUAUUGACGCUGAGGUACGAAAGCGUGGGGAGCAAACAGGAUUAGAUACCCUGGUAGUCCACGCCGUAAACGAUGAUAACUAGCUGUCUGGGUACUUGGUACUUAGGUGGCGCAGCUAACGCAUUAAGUUAUCCGCCUGGGGAGUACGGUCGCAAGAUUAAAACUCAAAGGAAUUGACGGGGGCCUGCACAAGCGGUGGAGCAUGUGGUUUAAAUUCGAAGCAACGCGCAGAAACCUUACCAGC
rnacentral:rRNA from 1 species